GACCCUGCAGUCAGCUGUCGGGCAGAGGCGCCAAACAUCUGGUUCAGCAGAUAGGAGUCAGCCUGAGAAGGGAUGGAGCUGUUGGUGGAGGGAGGAGCUGUCCCUCAAGUCCCUUUUCUGGAGGAACCAUCUGUCCCCUCCUCCAAGAGGGAUGAACCCUGGACAUAAGACUUCACAAAAUAAAGACUACAUUUCCCAGGCUCCCUUGAAGCUGAGUAGAGCCAUGUGACUAAAUCCUGCCUAAUAGGGUAUAAGCAGAAACAGCCCUCGAGGAAAUGUCCUUCAAGAAAAGGGACACAUCUUCCUUUACCCUCUCCUACUUCCUGCUGGCUGGAAUGCAGAAGUGAUGUCUGAUGCUUAAGCAGCCAUGAUGAACCACGAAGAGAAAGCCACUUGCCAAAGAUGCUACAAAAUAGAAGGUACCUGGGUGGAGCCCCUGCCACUGUGGAGCACCAUGCCGGCCUGGGACCUUCCUACCUCCAGAUUUUACAUCAAGGAGAAUAAACUCCUGUUUUGCUUAAA